CCUACGGGUGGCAGCAGUAGGGAAUCUUUCACAAUGGGCGAAAGCCUGAUGGAGCAACGCCGCGUGCAGGAUGAAGGCCUUCGGGUUGUAAACUGCUUUUAUAAGCGAGAAAUAUGAUGGUAACUUAUGAAUAAGGAUCGGCUAACUACGUGUCAGCAGCGGCGGUCAUACGUAGUACCCGAGCAUUAUGCGGGGUGACUGGGUGUAAAGAGUUGCGUAGGUGGGAUAAUAAGUAGCUAGUGAAAUCUGGUGGUUCAACCAUUCAGACUAUUAGCUAAACUGUUAAGCUCGAGACCGUUAGGGGUAACUGGAAUUUCUAGUGUAGGAGUGGAAUCCGUAGAUAUUAGAAGGAACACCAGUGGCGUAGGCAGGUUACUGGGACGGUUCUGACACUAAGGCACGAAAGCAUAGGGAGCAAACGGGAUUAGAUACCCGUGUAGUC
rnacentral:rRNA from 1 species